AAGGUCUGACGCAGAUCUCUCCCUCCCCUGGAGUGAUCCCCGGAGCGCGACUCCUCCCCAAGUCCCGCUCCCCAGCCCCGCCGGUCUCCCCCUGGCCUGCGGGGCUUUUUA
rnacentral:sRNA from 1 species